rnacentral:rRNA from 1 species
CCCGUAAUUACUUUGAGUUUUAAUCUUGCGACCGUACUCCCCAGGCGGUCAACUUCACGCGUUAGCUACGUUACUAAGGAAAUGAAUCCCCAACAACUAGUUGACGUCGUUUAGGGCGUGGACUACCAGGGUAUCUAAUCCUGUUUACUCCCCACGCUUUCGUGCAUGAGCGUCAGUAUUGGCCCAGGGGGCUGCCUUCGCCAUCGGUAUUCCUCCACAUCUCUACGCAUUUCACUGCUACACGUGGAAUUCUACCCCCCUCUGCCAUACUCUAGCUUGCCAGUCACGAAUGCAGUUCCCAGGUUGAGCCCGGGGAUUUCACAUACGUCUUAACAAACCGCCUGCGCACGCUUUACGCCCAGUAAUUCCGAUUAACGCUCGCACCCUACGUAUUACCGCGGCUGCUGGCACA